rnacentral:rRNA from 1 species
UACGUAGGCAGCAAGCGUUGUUCGGAGUUACUGGGCGUAAAGGGUGCGUAGGUGGCUCUAUAAGUAUGGUGUGAAAUCUCCCGGCUUAACUGGGAGGGUGCGCCGUAGACUGUGGGGCUAGAGUGUGGGAGAGGAAAGUGGAAUUCCUGGUGUAGCGGUGAAAUGCGUAGAUAUCAGGAGGAACACCGGUGGUGUAAACGGCUUUC